GUGCGCGCCUGCCUUGAGGCCAGCCUCAGAGAGGGGUGUUCCAGGUGCAGGCGAAGCGUCCUCCCUGUGUUCCUGGAGGACUGUCCCAAGCCUCUCUCCAUUCUCCCAACCUCUCUGGCCUGGAAGUCAGACAAGUGCCGGUGAUGCUGGUUUCUUGUCUGAUUUUUGCGCUUCUCUGGCAAGCUGCCCCCUCUGAAGAGUUGACUAUUGGUGAGUUACUCACUGAUGGUUCAGCCACUUCCAGAACCUACCCCAAGAACAAGACUUCAAACCAACUCACACCCUCAAAGCUCCGGAAGCCAUUCAGUGUUUCCAUCUUGGCCGAGUGAGUUCUUCACUGAAACUCAGUUUGAUCUCUGACGAGGUCCUCAAGGACAACUGAGAGAAGGUCCCACUCCGGGUCUUGCCCAAGUCUUUCUGAUUGGUGGAACUUAAAUCACACCCAAAAUCCCAGCUGCAGGAGAGCUGAGAUUUCAUCUUUCCAACCUCUGUGUGCUGCAUGGGGGUUGGAGCACUUGCUGACAAGCCUUGCAACAACCAUUGACAGGAUGUCCUCCACCUUUUCAGUCUGAUUUGCUCUUUGCCAUGCAGACCUGUGGAUGAAAAGCCAGAGUCCUCCAAGGUGAAGCUGGACUGAAUAUUUCUGUCCAUAAGACUAUUAGAAUCCCCCAAAGUGGGAUACCAGUGAGGACUUCACCAGCAGCUGCUGUCUCUCCAAUGCAGCUCCACAGGGCCUGUGGACAGGGCUGGCUAUGAGCUCCCACCCCGAAGAGCAGUACUGGGAUGCCCUGCUGAGCACCUGCAUAGCCAUCUACAACCAUCAGAGCCAGCGCACCUGUGCAGCCUCCCACAAUGAGUUCUGGGACCUGAGCCCAGGGGACAGUGUGAUCACCCCCGACGCCUGUCCCCAGAGCACCCUCUGGCCCCACAGUCAGGUGGCUGAGGAGAGGAUGUCAGGAGGAGAUGUACAGUGUGGCAUCUCUUACCCCUCCACCUUCUUGCUCUGGCCACACUGCGUCCUUUCAGUGUCGAACAUGCUGUGUUCUUUCCUGCCUCAGGUUCUUUGCACAUGUUGUUCCUGCUGCCUGGAAUGCAUGCCCUCUAUCAUCUUCCCUCAGCUCCCUCCUACCCAACUUUCAGGUCUUAGCCCAAACAUCGGGGGUCUCCUCUGACCACACAGUAGUACUGGGCACUCCUUUGUACUGCUAGUGUUGCUUUCUUUUGAAACUUUUAAUUACAGAACUUACCACACAUAUACAUAGAGAGGACUGCACAAUGAUGCCCUCCUCAUCCAUUACCAGCUUCACAAAUCAUUUAAAUUCUGCCUUGUACUUUCCCAACCAGUUGUUUUGGCUUGUGUAUUUUAAAGCAAAGCCAAGACCUCAUAUCAUUUUACCUGCAGAUACUGGGCCAUAAAGAUCUGUAAAACAUAACCCAAAUAUCCUGUCACUGCCAGGAAUAAUUUAUUAACAUCAUCUAAUAUUCAGGCCAUAUCCAAGUUUCCCUGAUUGUCUUGAAAACUAUCCAUUGCUUGCUGUUCUUUUUCAUAACCUGUUCUUUUCCUUGAAAGAACUUAACAGUUU
rnacentral:antisense_RNA from 1 species